rnacentral:sRNA from 1 species
CUUCUUCGUACCUAAUGCCAAGGUAGGAAUAAACAAGGGUACCUAGUAUGUCUUGCUUUUGGAGGGAUUCCUCCAGGAUCGAGGCUUUGGAUGACUGGAGAGACAGGAAUUCUUUAUUCCAGACAGUAGACCAAUAGACCUUCCUUGAGAAAGCUCCAAGAGUGGAGAGGAUUGAGUGGAGCAAAGGCUUGUGGAGGAGACAGUUUAAGUAUUACCUUCAGGAAAUUCAGUAUGGGAGGGGAUAAGGAAGGGAAACCUCAGCCUGGGCAAAGGCUUGAUACUGAGAGACUUAGAUGCUUCCCUCAGGGCAGCAACAGCCAUAAGGAAGAGCAUUUUAGGCAUAUGGCCCAACUAGGGCGCAAAGGUCCAGAGGUAGGAAGGCUCAGGCAUAUUCAGCCCUUGAGGAUGUUAAUGAAGAGUUAUCAGGCAGAGUGCUGCGGCUCUGCCUUGAGCCCCAUCUUGUCGCUCCAGGUCGUGGGUGAGCCUGUACUGUGUGCUUAGUAAGGGGGAACUGGGCUUCUACAAGGACUCCAAGGGCCCGGCAUCUGGGAGCACACACGGUGGGGAACCGCUGCUCAGCCUGCACAAGGCCACCAGUGAGGUGGCUAGUGACUACAAGAAAAAGAAGCAUGUCUUCAAGCUCCAGUGAGCCCCCCAAUGGGCAGGAGGGAGGGAUCCAAGGCUCAGCUUCAACUCCCAGUGGGACCCUGGCUUCCCUGGGGGACACUUGGUGGGCAGGUGGGCUGGGCCUCUUCCCCAGAUGUCUCAAGUCCUGUGUCCCUUCCUGCAGGACCCAGGAUGGCAGUGAGUUUUUGCUCCAGGCAAAAGAUGAGGAGGAGAUGAACGGCUGGCUGGAGGCUGUGGCUUCCUCCGUGGCGGAACACGCAGAGAUGGCCCGCUGGGGCCAGACACUACCCACUACUUCAUCCACAGAUGAGGGCAACCCUAAGAGGGAAGGCGGAGAUCGCAGGGCCAGUGGGCGCAGGAAGUGACUUCCCACCCCCAGGACCUGACACAUGUCGUCUCCCCUCUUUUCCGCACUGUGGGCACAAAGACACUUUUUCUUCCGCAGGGGCGGGAGCCCCUAUUUCCAACACUGAGGACGCGUGACAUGGUGAGCACCAGAAAGGAGGGGACUUCUCCUGCACCCCAAGAAGUGGUGGGAGAUUGCUGCCCCUAUAGCCAUAUCUCGGCCCCUUCCCACUCACCACCCCCACCCCAGGUGCUGGGGCUCCCUUAUUUUUAUGCAAUAACUGAGCUUGAUGGGGGUGGACAGGGGGCCAGUUGAGCCAAGCCCCCAGCCCCGAUCUGCAGAUCCUGCCCCAAGAAGCUGGGGUGGUGGGGGCGGUAAUUCCUGCCCCCUCUCUGCCCUAGGGAUGGGCACGGGGGCGCUGGUGAGGUCCCCUGGACCAUCCAGGGUGCUAGGGGGCAGGGAGGGGACACCCCCUCCCCGCCUUUACCUCACUUCCAAUGCUGCCUUGAUCUCUGUGUGGGAGGGGGGAGUGAAGGGGCCCUAGCCCCUGCACUCCGCCGCCUCAGAGCCAUGCGGUUAAUUCCUGACUUAGUUUAUUUUUGCAAAACGUCGAUCUCCUCCUCCCCCGCCCCGCAUCCGCGAAGGCUUUUAAUGGGAGGGGCGUCAAAGCUCAAAACUGUUUUCCUCUCUCCUCCCCUCUCCAGUUGUAAAUGCCACUUCAUGAGGGGAGGGGCGAGGGGAGGCCCUCCCCCUGCAUGCUUCUGGCUGGAGCACCUCCCUGGGGAGUGGGGAGAUUGGGUUGUGGGCAGUCCCCAUGGCCGCCUGGAGAAGCCGCUGGGGCCCGGGGGUGUGGGGCGGUGUGGCGGGCGCACACUGUAUGUACCUAUAAUAAACCCUUUGGCUUUG